UACGUAGGUGUCAAGCGUUAUCCGGAAUUACUGGGCGUAAAGGGCACGCAGGCGGUUUUGUAAGUCUGACGUGAAAGCUCCCGGCUUAACCGGGAGAGGUCGUUGGAAACUGCAAGACUUGAGACAGUGAGAGGGGAGCGGAAUUCCCGGUGUAGUGGUGGAAUGCGUAGAUAUCGGGAAGAACACCAGUGGCGAAAGCGGCUUUCUGGCACUGUUCUGACGCUGAGGUGCGAAAGCGUGGGGAGCGAACGGG
rnacentral:misc_RNA from 1 species